UACGAGUGCCUCAAGCGUUAUCCGGAAUCAUUGGGCGUAAAGGUUGUGUAGGUGGUUGUAUUAGUCUUCUGUUAAAUUCUUCGGCUUAACCGGGGGCAUGCAGAGGAAACGGCACGACUAGAGGAUGCGAGGGGUCUGUGGAAUUCAUAGUGUAGCGGUAAAAUGCGUUGAUAUUAUGGAGAACACCAGAAGCGAAGGCAGCAGACUGGAGCACUCCUGACACUGAAACAAGAAAGCGUGGGUCGCGAAUGGG
rnacentral:rRNA from 1 species